AUGCCAAGUGUGUCGUUGGGGUCCUUUUUCACUCCAUAUUCAUCUCUUUCGAUAUUACUCUUAUAUUCUUGCGUGUUUUUUAAAGUAAUAUUACUAUCACCCAUUUACCCUUCUGGUCCCAGAGAAUUGAGUUUUGGAGAGGCUACCUUCUUCUUCUUCGUCCUUCCUCAACCCAUCGUCAAACUCGAAAUUGGAAGAUUCAGUGAAACCCUAAACUGUAAAAGGUCUCUAACCCCCAAGGUUGGGAAUUUAAACCAUUUUUCAGUUCUUGUUCCGUCAAAUCUUGGUGAUAUGAAACCAAGAAUCGAACGCCGGAGGGCUUCUCCAUUGUCACCAGAGUGUGCUACUUGUGUCCGGAAAUCGUCAUUACUCGUUAGAAAUUUCCAGAGGUUUUUUAGUCCUAUUGGUGAUUCACAUACUUAUUUUUAUUGA